AGAGCGAACGCUGGCGGCAUGCUUAACACAUGCAAGUCGCACGGUCAGCAAUGGCAGUGGCGGACGGGUGAGUAACACGUAGGAAUCUAUCCCGGGGUGGGGGACAACAGUGGGAAACUACUGCUAAUACCGCAUGAUACCUGAGGGUCAAAGGCGCAAGUCGCCUUGGGAGGAGCCUGCGUCUGAUUAGCUUGUUGGUGGGGUAAAGGCCUACCAAGGCUACGAUCAGUAGCUGGUCUGAGAGGAUGAUCAGCCACAUUGGGACUGAGACACGGCCCAAACUCCUACGGGAGGCAGCAGUGGGGAAUAUUGGACAAUGGGGGAAACCCUGAUCCAGCAAUGCCGCGUGUGUGAAGAAGGUCUUCGGAUUGUAAAGCACUUUUGGCAGGGACGAUGAUGACGGUACCUGCAGAAUAAGCCCCGGCUAACUUCGCGCCAGCAGCCGC
rnacentral:rRNA from 1 species